rnacentral:rRNA from 1 species
GGGGGACAACAGUUGGAAACGACUGCUAAUACCGCAUAACGCAUAGGGGUCGCAUGAUCUUUAUGCCAAAGAUUUAUUGCUUCAAGAUGGCCUCGCGUCUGAUUAGCUAGUUGGCGGGGUAACGGCCCACCAAGGCGACGAUCAGUAGCCGGACUGAGAGGUUGAACGGCCACAUUGGGACUGAGAUACGGCCCAGACUCCUACGGGAGGCAGCAGUGGGGAAUAUUGGGCAAUGGGCGCAAGCCUGACCCAGCAACGCCGCGUGAAGGAAGAAGGCUUUCGGGUUGUAAACUUCUUUUAAGAGGGAAGAGUAGAAGACGGUACCUCUAGAAUAAGCCACGGCUAACUACGUGCCUGCAGCCGCGGUAAUACGUAGGUGGCAAGCGUUGUCCGGAUUUACUGGGUGUAAAGGGCGUGCAGCCGGGUCUGCAAGUCAGAUGUGAAAUCCAUGGGCUCAACCCAUGAACUGCAUUUGAAACUGUAGAUCUUGAGUGUCGGAGGGGCAAUCGGAAUUCCUAGUGUAGCGGUGAAAUGCGUAGAUAUUAGGAGGAACACCAGUGGCGAAGGCGGAUUGCUGGACGAUAACUGACGGUGAGGCGCGAAAGUGUGGGGAGCAAAC